rnacentral:rRNA from 1 species
GACGAACGCUGGCGGCGUGCCUAAUGCAUGCAAGUCGCACGCACCUUCUCUUGAGAAGGUGAGUGGCGCACGGCUGAGGAACACGUGGGCACCUGCCCUCCCGUGGGGGAUAACGCGGCGAAGCCACGCUAAACCCGCAUACGCCCGAAGUUCGCUUCGAGGAAACCGCGUUACGCGGGCGGGAGGAGGGGCCUGCGGCCCAUCAGGUCGUAGGUGGGGUAACGGCCUGCCUAGCCGAUGACGGGUAGCUGGUCUGUGAGGACAACCAGCCAGACUGGGACUGAGACACGGCCCAGACUCCUACGGGAGGCAGCAGCAAGGAAUUUUCCCCAAUGGGCGCAAGCCUGAGGGAGCAACGCCGCGUGGAGGACGACGGCCUUCGGGUUGUAAACUCCUUUUGGGGGGGACGAUGGUGACGGUACCCCCCGAAUCAGCCCCGGCUAACUCUGUGCCAGCCGCCGCUGUAAAAC